rnacentral:rRNA from 1 species
UGGGAAUAUUGGGCAAUGGGACGCAAGUCUGACCCAGCAACGCCGCGUGGAGGAAGAAGGUUUUCGGAUUGUAAACUCCUGUCGUUAGGGACGAUAAUGACGGUACCUAACAAGAAAGCACCGGCUAACUACGUGCCAGCAGCCGCGGUAAAACGUAGGGUGCAAGCGUUGUCCGGAAUUACUGGGUGUAAAGGGAGCGCAGGCGGACCGGCAAGUUGGAAGUGAAAACUAUGGGCUCAACCCAUAAAUUGCUUUCAAAACUGCUGGCCUUGAGUAGUGCAGAGGUAGUGGAAUUCCCGGUGUAGCGGUGGAAUGCGUAGAUAUCGGGAGGAACACCAGUGGCGA